rnacentral:tRNA from 6 species
UCUGUAGCUCAGUUGGUAGAGCAGAGGACUGAAAAUCCUCGUGUCGUUGGUUCGAUUCCGACCGGA